GCUCUGGUGGGCUAGUGGUUAGAGCGUCCGCCUCGGAUGCGGAAGGUUGUUUGUUCGAACCCUCACUGGGUCA